rnacentral:rRNA from 1 species
UACAGAGGGGGCGAGCGUUAUUCGGAAUUAUUGGGCGUAAAGGGCGCGUAGGCGGCCUGGCAAGUGGAAGGUGAAAUCCCUCGGCUUAACCGAGGAACUGCCCUCCAAACUGCUUGGCUUGCGUCCGGGAGAGGUGAGUGGAAUUCCCAGUGUAGCGGUGAAAUGCGUAGAUAUUGGGAGGAACACCAGUGGCGAAGGCGGCUCACUGGACCGGAACUGACGCUGAGGCGCGAAAGCGUGGGGAGCAAACGGG